rnacentral:rRNA from 1 species
CCUACGGGUGGCAGCAGUGGGGAAUAUUGCACAAUGGGCGCAAGCCUGAUGCAGCCAUGCCGCGUGUGUGAAGAAGGCCUUCGGGUUGUAAAGCACUUUCAGCGGGGAGGAAGGCGUUAAGGUUAAUAACCUUGGCGAUUGACGUUACCCGCAGAAGAAGCACCGGCUAACUCCGUGCCAGCAGCCGCGGUAAUAGGGAGGGUGCAAGCGUUAAUCGGAAUUACUGGGCGUAAAGCGCACGCAGGCGGUCUGUCAAGUCGGAUGUGAAAUCCCCGGGCUCAACCUGGGAACUGCAUUCGAAACUGGCAGGCUAGAGUCUUGUAGAGGGGGGUAGAAUUCCAGGUGUAGCGGUGAAAUGCGUAGAGAUCUGGAGGAAUACCGGUGGCGAAGGCGGCCCCCUGGACAAAGACUGACGCUCAGGUGCGAAAGCGUGGGGAGCAAACAGGAUUAGAUACCCGAGUAGUC